rnacentral:rRNA from 1 species
GUGUCAGCAGCCGCGGUAAUACGUAGGGAGCGAGCGUUGUCCGGAUUUAUUGGGCGUAAAGAGCUCGUAGGCGGUUUGGUAAGUCGGGUGUGAAAGCUCCGGGCUCAACUCGGAGAGGUCACUCGAUACUGCCAUGACUGGAGUCCGGUAGGGGGGUGUGGAAUUCCCAGUGUAGCGGUGAAAUGCGCAGAUAUUGGGAGGAACACCAAUGGCGAAGGCAGCACCCUGGGCCGGUACUGACGCUGAGGAGCGAAAGCGUGGGGAGCAAACAGGAUUAGAAACCCUCGUAGUCC